CGGACGGGUGAGUAACGCGUGGGUAACCUGCCUUAUACAGGGGGAUAACAGUCAGAAAUGGCUGCUAAUACCGCGUAAGCGCACAGAGCUGCAUAGCUCAGUGUGAAAAACUCCGGUGGUAUAAGAUGGACCCGCGUUGGAUUAGCUAGUUGGUGGGGUAACGGCCCACCAAGGCGACGAUCCAUAGCCGGCCUGAGAGGGUGAACGGCCACAUUGGGACUGAGACACGGCCCAGACUCCUACGGGAGGCAGCAUG
rnacentral:rRNA from 1 species